rnacentral:rRNA from 1 species
UACAGAGGUCCCAAGCGUUGUUCGGAUUCACUGGGCGUAAAGGGUGCGUAGGCGGGUCUUUAAGUCAGGGGUGAAGUCCUGGAGCUCAACUCCAGAACUGCCUUUGAUACUGAAGAUCUUGAGUUCGGGAGAGGUGAGUGGAACUGCGAGUGUAGAGGUGAAAUUCGUAGAUAUUCGCAAGAACACCAGUGGCGAAGGCGGCUCACUGGCCCGAUACUGACGCUGAGGCACGAAAGCGUGGGGAGCAAACAGG